rnacentral:rRNA from 1 species
AUUUUGACAGAUCCCUUCGGGGUGAAGAUAAAAUGGAUUAGCGGCGGACGGGUGAGUAACACGUGAGUAACCUGCCUUAGACAUUGGGAUAGCCUCGGGAAACCGGGAUUAAUACCGAAUAAAAUCACAGAUACACAUGUAUCCAUGAUCAAAACUCCGGUGGUCUAAGAUGGACUCGCGUCCCAUUAGCUAGUUGGUGAGGUAACGGCCCACCAAGGCGACGAUGGGUAGCCGGCCUGAGAGGGUGAACGGCCACAUUGGAACUGAGAAACGGUCCAAACUCCUACGGGAGGCAGCAGUGGGGAAUAUUGCACAAUGGAGGGAACUCUGAUGCAGCGACGCCGCGUGAACGAAGAAGGCUUUCGAGUCGUAAAGUUCUUUUAUAUGGGAAGAUAAUGACGGUACCAUAAGAAAAAGCCCCGGCUAACUACGUGCCAGCAGCCGCGGUAAUACGUAGGGGGCUAGCGUUGUCCGGAAUCACUGGGCGUAAAGGGUUCGCAGGCGGAAAUGCAAGUCAGGUGUAAAAGGCAGUAGCUUAACUACUGUAAGCAUUUGAAACUGCAUAUCUUGAGAAGAGUAGAGGUAAGUGGAAUUUUUAGUGUAGCGGUGAAAUGCGUAGAUAUUAAAAAGAAUACCGGUGGCGAAGGCGACUUACUGGGCUCAUUCUGACGCUGAGGAACGAAAGCGUGGGUAGCAAACAGGAUUAGAUACCCUGGUAGUCCACGCUGUAA